rnacentral:lncRNA from 1 species
ACAGCAAGGUUACCAAGAAGCAGAUGGGCUGUGAAGGAGACAAACCCUUCUGUCUAAACACAAAUAGCAUUGAUAAUUAAUUAGCUGAAGCAGCAGGGGAAAUUAUGAAAAUGUGUGAAAGGUAAAAUAAUUUCUAUUUAUUUCAGAUUUGAUAGUUUUAUUCCUCUUGCCAGAGGAAGAUCACAUCCCUCUUCACCUUGGGAAGGUUGUCUGAUAUACUGACUAUGGCACUAACUGGUUUGAGUAUGCUGGUGUUCACUUUCUGGAUUUUGAUUUCUUGGUUAAGAAAGCAUAGUAAGUAUAGUAAGUAUUCUGAGCAGCUUUGAAUGAGAUCCCAGCCGUCCUAUUAUUCUUGCAUUCAUUGUGAUCCAGUUGCAAGAUAAACUGCAGGUGUCAUGCAGUUGAUGGGAUUUCAGAAGGGGUGGAGAUACCUUCCAGUGUCCCUGAAAUCACAUAAUGGUUCUAUCUGGCAUUGAAGAAUUUUCAACCACGGGAUAAUAGAGCUUUAGUUAUAGAAACGACUUUACAGACUGUCCUUGUCCAGGGUCUCUGAACAACUAGGUUCUUGAGAUGUUUUGAAUAAUCAGCUCAUAUUCAUUCAAGAUAAAACUGAAUAGUUUAACAUGAUUUAGUUAAAAUAUGAUCUUCUUUAUUAUACUUUUAAGUUCUUAGAUACAUAUGAAGAGCAUGCAGCUUUGUUACAUAGGUAUACGCGUGCCAUGGUGGUUUGCUGCACCCAUCAACCCAUCAUCUACCUUAGGUAAUUUUCCUAAUACUAUCCCUCCCCUAGUCCCCCCAUCCCACAACAGGCCCUGGUGUGUGAUGUUCCCCUCCCUGUCUCCAUGUG